UGGGGGAUAACGUAGGGAAACUUACGCUAAUACCGCAUACGACCUUCGGGUGAAAGCAGGGGACCUUCGGGCCUUGCGCGGAUAGAUGAGCCGAUGUCGGAUUAGCUAGUUGGCGGGGUAAAGGCCCACCAAGGCGACGAUCCGUAGCUGGUCUGAGAGGAUGAUCAGCCACACUGGAACUGAGACACGGUCCAGACUCCUACGGGAGGCAGCAGUGGGGAAUAUUGGACAAUGGGCGCAAGCCUGAUCCAGCCAUACCGCGUGGGUGAAGAAGGCCUUCGGGUUGUAAAGCCCUUUUGUUGGGAAAGAAAAGCAGUCGAUUAAUACUCGGUUGUUCUGACGGUACCCAAAAGAAUAAGCACCGGCUAACUUCGUGCCAGCAGCCGCGGUAAUACGAAGGGUGCAAGCGUUACUCGGAAUUACUGGGCGUAAAGCGUGCGUAGGUGGUUGUUUAAGUCUGUUGUGAAAGCCCUGGGCUCAACCUGGGAAUUGCAGUGGAUACUGGGCGACUAGAGUGUGGUAGAGGGUAGUGGAAUUCCCGGUGUAGCAGUGAAAUGCGUA
rnacentral:rRNA from 1 species